AUCUCUGUUUGUAGCAGAAUAC
rnacentral:snRNA from 1 species